rnacentral:rRNA from 1 species
UACGUAGGGUGCGAGCGUUAAUCGGAAUUACUGGGCGUAAAGCGUGCGCAGGCGGUUAUGUAAGUCAGUUGUGAAAUCCCCGGGCUCAACCUGGGAAUUGCAUUUGUGACUGCAUAGCUAGAGUACGGUAGAGGGGGGUGGAAUUCCGCGUGUAGCAGUGAAAUGCGUAGAUAUGCGGAGGAACACCGAUGGCGAAGGCAGUCCCCUGGACCUGUACUGACGCUCAUGCACGAAAGCGUGGGGAGCAAACAGG